GUCUUAUUUAAGGGGAACGUAUGG
rnacentral:piRNA from 1 species